rnacentral:rRNA from 1 species
CCUACGGGAGGCAGCAGUGGGGAAUAUUGGGCAAUGGGCGCAAGCCUGACCCAGCAAUGCCGCGUGAAGGAAGAAGGCUUUCGGGUUGUAAACUUCUUUGACAGGGGAAGAGCAGAAGACGGUACCCUGAAAACAAGCCACGGCUAACUACGUGCCAGGAGCCGCGGUAAUACGGAGGUGGCAAGCGUUGUCCGGAUUUACUGGGGGUAAAGGGCGGGUAGCCGGGAAGGCAAGUCCGAUGUGAAAUCCGGGGGCUCAACCUCCGAAUUGCAUUUGAAACUGUUUUUCUUGAGUACUGGAGAGGCAGACGGAAUUCCUGGUGUAGCGGUGAAAUGCGUAGAUAUAAGGAGGAACACCAGUGGCGAAGGCGGUCUGCUGGACAGCAACUGACGGUGAGGCGCGAAAGCGUGGGGAGCAAACAGGAUUAGAUACCCCAGUAGUC